GACGAACGCUGGCGGCGUGCCUAAUACAUGCAAGUCGAGCGCAGGAAACUGACGGAACUCUUCGGAGGGAAGGCAGUGGAAUGAGCGGCGGACGGGUGAGUAACACGUAAGGAACCUGCCCCAAGGAUUGGGAUAACUCCGAGAAAUCGGAGCUAAUACCGGAUAGUUCAACGGACCGCAUGGUCCGCUGAUGAAAGGCGCUCCGGCGUCACCUUGAGAUGGCCUUGCGGUGCAUUAGCUAGUUGGUGGGGUAACGGCCCACCAAGGCGACGAUGCAUAGCCGACCUGAGAGGGUGAUCGGCCACACUGGGACUGAGACACGGCCCAGACUCCUACGGGAGGCAGCAGUAGGGAAUCUUCCACAAUGGACGAAAGUCAGAUGGAGCAACGCCGCGUGAGUGAUGAAGGUUUUCGGAUCGUAAAACUCUGUUGUAAGGGAAGAACACGUACGAGAGGGAAUGCUCGUACCUUGACGGUACCUUACGAGAAAGCCACGGCUAACUACGUGCCAGCCGCCGCCGUAA
rnacentral:rRNA from 1 species